GUUUUGUGAUGAGACAAAAUUUUUUUCAGUUCUGCUUCUGCAAACACCUUGAAGAAAAACAAAUACCUUACCAAACCUUCUGAUCC
rnacentral:snoRNA from 1 species